rnacentral:siRNA from 1 species
CUUAGCUCAGUGGUAGAGC